GACGAACGCUGGCGGCGUGCUUAACACAUGCAAGUCGAACGGAAAGGCCUGCUUUCCCUUGUGGAUUGCGGGUACUCGAGUGGCGAACGGGUGAGUAACACGUGAGUGAUCUGCCCCCAACUUGGGUAUAAGCCUGGGAAACUGGGUCUAAUUCCCGAUAGGACUGCAGGGUGGUGCCUGUGGUGGAAAACGAUUUUCUAGUGGUUGGGGAUGAGCUCGCGGCCUAUCAGCUUGUUGGUGGGGUAAUGGCCUACCAAGGCGGCGACGGGUAGCCGGCCUGGGAGGUGGGACGGCAACAUGGGAACGGGGUAACGGCCCAGAUCCGACGGGGAGCAGGAGGGGGGGAAAAUUGCCCAGGGGGGGAAGGCUGAUGCAGGGGCCGCGCGGGGGGGAUGGCGGGCUUUGGGUUGGUAACUCCUUUUGGCCGGGAGGGAGCCACCCUGUUGGAAGGGUGGUGACGGUAGUGGUAGAAGAAGCACCGGCUAACUACGUG
rnacentral:rRNA from 1 species